rnacentral:rRNA from 1 species
AACGUAGGACGCAAGCGUUAUCCGGAGUUACUGGGCGUAAAGGGCGUGUAGGCGGCGCUUCAAGUUCGUCGUGAAAGACCCCGGCUAAACCGGGGGAGGUCGAGGGAGACUGAAGCGCUGGAGGACGGUAGAGGGACAGGGAAUUCCGGGUGUAGUGGUGAAAUGCGUAGAGAUCCGGAGGAACACCAGUGGCGAAGGCGGCAUCCUGGACCGACACUGACACUGAGGAGCGAAAGCCAGGGGAGCAAACGGG